CCUUUCUCCCUCUCCCCACUAAAGAAAACAUCAUUUGACAUAAAUGAUAUGUGUGUAUAUAAAAGUCUUUUUUACUGAUUUCUAUUUAUCUUUUUCUAGAGUUGGAUAUAUACAAGUCAUUCUUGAAGCAAUAUUCCUAUGCUGUAUAUGAUGUUCUCUUGGUUCUACUCGUUUCCAUCAUCAAAAUUUCAAGCCACUCCCAAUAAGAAAACACCUUCUACCAAUGAAGACCUGCUCUGCAACUUACAGUCAUGGAAUAAAAUAAAUUAUUUGAGAGAA
rnacentral:lncRNA from 1 species